UACGGGAGGCAGCAGUGGGGAAUAUUGCACAAUGGGCGCAAGCCUGAUGCAGCCAUGCCGCGUGUAUGAAGAAGGCCUUCGGGUUGUAAAGUACUUUCAGUCGUGAGGAAGGUGUUAAGGUUAAUAACCUUAGCAAUUGACGUUAGCGACAGAAGAAGCACCGGCUAACUCCGUGCCAGCAGCCGCGGUAAUACGGAGGGUGCGAGCGUUAAUCGGAAUUACUGGGCGUAAAGGGCACGCAGGCGGUUAAUUAAGUUGGAUGUGAAAUCCCCGGGCUUAACCUGGGAAUGGCAUUCAAGACUGGUUAGCUAGAGUCUUGUAGAGGGGGUAGAAUUCCAUGUGUAGCGGUGAAAUGCGUAGAGAUGUGGAGGAAUCCGGUGGCGAAGGCGGCCCCUGGACAAAGACUGACGCUCAUGUGCGAAAGCGUGGGGAGCAAAC
rnacentral:rRNA from 1 species